UCCAACCGUCUUAUUUCGAAACUGUGUAAAAAAAGGCCAUGUAAAAACAGAAUUAGGUGUAUACAUACAUAUGUAUAUAUAUAGUCGACUUAGGUCACAACAAUGAAACCAAGAAUUUAACGAAAAUAGUGUUAUAAUACAACAAUAAGCAAGUUAAAAAAAUAUAUAUUCAACAAAAAACUUUAAAAAUCUGAGACCAUCUCCAAAAAGUCCUGCCACCUGGAAAAAAGGCUAAAAAAGUUCAAAUUUGGCCUGUAUUCCUUAUAUUUUUAAUUGAUUUCCUCUUGGUUAAGCCACGACUUGACUAUCUUGCAGCAAUUAUUCGGGUCGUUGUCCUGCUGAAAUAUCCAGAUCAGCAAAUCGUGGAAUGAAUGACGCAUUUUAUCGCGAAUUUGAACGGGAAUAAUUGAAGGCAAUUGAUGAUGGCUUAUAUAUCCUGGAUGGCCCUGGUGGAACUGUUGCUUCUACUGGAACAGCAGCCAUAUUGUUAGAAGGAUGCCGUGCGUCAGAUUCAGCAUUAAAAUUACCGUUAAAUCUUUAAAAUAUUGAAGAGCCUAUAUGUAUGUAUUAUUGCAAAACACUCCGCAAUGGCCACAUUUUUGUCAGCAUCGAAAAUUAUCAUCUGCAUAAACGUGCAUUUGAAGUACUUAACCGAAGAUUAUAAGAUCUACAAAAUGACACGAGAUAUUUUGGAGGAGCCAUGAUUCUACUGUCUUUCGAUUUCCGCCGAACAUUACAGUUUUAUUGUAAAAUUAUCUCAGAGCAUUUUCUGACUAUCGGUAAUGGCUAGUAGUAGCUGUCAACGAAUAAAGCGGAUUGAUUUUAUUUCCUCAGAAUUUCUGUAACUUUGUCACAACAAAGUAUUCCCAAACAUCAA
rnacentral:sRNA from 1 species